rnacentral:rRNA from 1 species
GAGUUUGAUCCUGGCUCAGAACGAACGCUGGCGGCGUGGAUAAGACAUGCAAGUCGAACGAGAUUUUCUUUGGUAGCAAUACCGAAGGAAGUCUAGUGGCGAACGGGUGCGUAACACGUGGGCAAUCUGCCUUAAAAUGGGGGAUAGCUCGGCGAAAGCCGGAUUAAUACCGCAUGUGAUCAGGGAAGACAUCUUUCCAACAUCAAAGUCGGGGCAACCUGACGCUUUUAGAGGAGCCCGCGGCCUAUCAGCUUGUUGGUGAGGUAACGGCUCACCAAGGCGUUGACGGGUAGCUGGUCUGAGAGGACGACCAGUCACACUGGAACUGAGACACGGUCCAGACACCUACGGGUGGCAGCAGUCGAGAAUUUUUCUCAAUGGGGGAAACCCUGAAGGAGCGACGCCGCGUGGAGGAUGAAGGUCUUCGGGUUGUAAACUCCUGUCAUUUGGGAACAAUGCUUAACGGUUAACUGCCGUUGAGUUGAUAGUACCAGAAGAGGAAGAGACGGCUAAACUCUGU